GAGCACGUGGCGUCUGAGCGGAUAUAUAAAGCGAUGUAAAAGCGUUGACCACUACAGGACUCUGGCCGCCUUCGUCGCAUCUCCUUUCUUUGCAUCGAUCCUAGAGCUUUCUAGUCGAAGACAUGGACUGCUUCCUUGGGAAAUUCGUCUUCGUGGUGGUUGCGGCCGCAUUCGCUGCGCUGAUUAUGGCCCCAAAUGAAGCUGGGGCAUUUCCACUCAGUGUAUAUGAAACUAUUGAAAAGGCCAAGGGACGAAUAGAAGACAACGUCGAGUGACGAAGCAUCAGUCUUCCUGACACAGUGCGGCUGGCUUGCGUUCCAUUCAGGACACCUGCUUCAUAACUGAAUAAAAUGAAUGAAG